rnacentral:sRNA from 1 species
CCGCCUCCGGGUCCUCUGUUCUCGCCUCUAGGAAGUUCGGUCCCAGCAGCACGCACCACUUCGUUCCACUUCAGGGGAAGGCAUAGUGACAGGGACUCAAACGGGCAGUCGCCAGUCUGUGUGCGCCCUCGAGGAAUCCUUCAUGGAAGUCUUAAGUUGUUCCCUUGCUCGCACACACUGGGAUCAGUUUGCCUAGCGCGAUGGCAGAGCGGUAAAAAUAUUCAUCUUGCCCGGCUACAAAUACCACCUUGUCCAGAAAUGCUUCCGUCUGUGAUAUAGUGUGCCCACUCAAAGGACAGCGGGACUUUCUAAAUCUGGAACUCUACAACUGCCUUCUGGGAGCCAAAGACUGUAGUACAAGCUUGGGUGACAUUUGGUAGACUUAGGAGGGAGUCCACGGGAGACUCCACUAUGUACUAGGCACCUUGCCUGUGCAGUCUGCUCUCAGUCAACAUUCUGUAAGAGCCCCGUGGUGAAACAGGAGCCUAGAUUCGAGGACUAUGACCACGUCAAGACAAGACUUAUGCCGAGAAAAGACGUUCUGCCUCUCUGUUGGGGUACCGUUCCAGUCUUCUUUUCCUUUGAAAUGGGGUCGCACUGAAUCACCAGGUUGGCCUUGGGUUUGUAAUCCUCCUGCUGUAGCCUUCUGAGGAACUGAAAAUACAAACCUGCACCCACAGGACCAACCCAUGAGAUCUAAGUUACAGGAGUUGCCAUGGUCAGGGGCUGGAGAGAUUCCUCAGUGGUUAAGAGCACUGGGUUCAAUUCCCAGAACCCACAUGUCAGCUCACCACAGCCUGCAACUCUAUCUCCAGGAAUUCCGACACCUUCAGAAAGAUACAUGUGUAGGCAAAAUGUCAAUGCACAAAUAUAAAUAAAGGUUUAAAAAAAA